UACGAAGGGGGCUAGCGUUGCUCGGAAUCACUGGGCGUAAAGGGUGCGUAGGCGGGUCUUAAGUCAGGGGUGAAAUCCUGGAGCUCAACUCCAGAACUGCCUUUGAUACUGAAGAUCUUGAGUUCGGGAGAGGUGAGUGGAACUGCGAGUGUAGAGGUGAAAUUCGUAGAUAUUCGCAAAGAACACCAGUGGCGAAGGCGGCUCACUGGCCCGAUACUGACGCUGAGGCACGAAAGCGUGGGGAGCAAACAGGG
rnacentral:rRNA from 1 species